rnacentral:misc_RNA from 1 species
GAGUUCGUUUCUCGGAUCUCCCCCCA